UACGAAGGGGGCUAGCGUUGUUCGGAAUCACUGGGCGUAAAGCGCACGUAGGCUGAUUGGUCAGUUGGGGGUGAAAUCCCGGGGCUCAACCUCGGAACUGCCUUCAAUACUGCCAGUCUUGAGUCCGAGAGAGGUGAGUGGAAUUCCUAGUGUAGAGGUGAAAUUCGUAGAUAUUAGGAAGAACACCAGUGGCGAAGGCGGCUCACUGGCUCGGUACUGACGCUGAGGCGCGAAAGCGUGGGGAGCAAACAGG
rnacentral:rRNA from 1 species